rnacentral:rRNA from 1 species
AUUGAACGCUGGCGGCAGGCUUAACACAUGCAAGUCGAGCGAGUGGCGGACGGGUGAGUAAUGUCUGGGAAACUGCCUGAUGGAGGGGGAUAACUACUGGAAACGGUAGCUAAUACCGCAUACCAUCGGAUGUGCCCAUAUGGGAUUAGCUAGUCGGUGGGGUAAAGGCUCACAUAGGCGACGAUCCCUAGCUGGUCUGAGAGGAUGACCAGCCACACUGUAACUGAGACACGGCCCAUACUCCUACGGGAGGCAGCAGUGGGGAAUAUUGGACAAGGGGGGAAAGCCUGAUGCAGCCAUGCCGCGUGUAUGAAGAAGGCCUUCGGGGUGUAAAGUACUUUCAGCGGGGAGGCGUUACCCGCAGAAGAAGCACCGGCUAACUCCGUGCCAGCAGCCGCGGUAAUAC